UGGGGAAUAUUGGACAAUGGGCGAAAGCCUGAUCCAGCCAUGCCGCGUGUGUGAAGAAGGUCUUCGGAUUGUAAAGCACUUUAAGUUGGGAGGAAGGGCAUUAACCUAAUACGUUAGUGUUUUGACGUUACCGACAGAAUAAGCACCCGCUAACUCUGUGCCAGCAGCCGCGGUCAUACAGAGGGUGCAAGCGUUAAUCGGAAUUACUGGGCGUAAAGCGCGCGUAGGUGGUUUGUUAAGUUGGAUGUGAAAUCCCCGGGCUCAACCUGGGAACUCCAUUCAAAACUGACUGACUAGAGUAUGGUAGAGGGUGGUGGAAUUUCCUGUGUAGCGGUGAAAUGCGUAGAUAUAGGAAGGAACACCAGUGGCGAAGGCGACCACCUGGACUAAUACUGACACUGAGGUGCGAAAGCGUGGGGAGCAAACA
rnacentral:rRNA from 1 species